rnacentral:rRNA from 1 species
GAUGAACGCUAGCGGCAGGCUUAACACAUGCAAGUCGAGGGGUACAGUUCUUCGGAGCUAGAGACCGGCGCACGGGUGCGUAACGCGUAUGCAAUCUACCUUUUGCAGAGGGAUAGCCCAGGGAAAUUUGGAUUAAUACCUCAUGGUAUGUGAGAAUGGCAUCAUUUUCACAUUAAAGUCACAACGGCAAAAGAUGAGCAUGCGUCCCAUUAGCUAGUUGGUAAGGUAACGGCUUACCAAGGCAACGAUGGGUAGGGGUCCUGAGAGGGAGAUCCCCCACACUGGUACUGAGACACGGACCAGACUCCUACGGGAGGCAGCAGUGAGGAAUAUUGGACAAUGGGCGCAAGCCUGAUCCAGCCAUGCCGCGUGCAGGAUGACGGUCCUAUGGAUUGUAAACUGCUUUUGUACAGGAAGAAACACUGGUUCGUGAACCAGCUUGACGGUACUGUAAGAAUAAGGAUCGGCUAACUCCGUGCCAGCAGCCGCGGUAACAC